UUCAUAGGCACACACACCAUUCUUCUCCACUUAUCUUCUCCACAAAAACCACAUACUCUCACUCACACAAACCAGUGAAAGAAAACAGGGGAGAGAACACUCAAUUCUAUUUAUUCUCAUAUUCAUGCAUACACACAAUCACACCUACAUCUACUGAAAUGGCAUGACAGUAGGGAGAUGGGAGAGAGAGAGAUUAAGAGUGAAGAGAAAGAGAGAUCAAGCUUGGGAGAGGGAGAGAGAAAAAGAGAUCGAGCUCGGGAGAGAGAGAGAAAGAGAGAUCGAGCUUAAUUGAGAAAGAGUGGAAAGAUUUGGGAGAAAAAAUAGUCAGAGAAAUAGAGAACAUCGAGGAGAGGGGAGAACCACAAGAUUCGUUGUAUGUUUGACUGUUCCAGCGAAUAAAGACAGUGUUGUGUCAUUUUCUUUUGAGUGGAUUCUUGCGAGUAGGAUUAACUCUAGUGAGUUUUGGUAUGCGGGUUUCUUGGUCUCUUUGGCAACUUCGAUCUCAUUUUGUUUGAUAUUUCCUCUGUCUCGGGUUUAAACCUGUUCGAGUUUACUAUUCUUGAUAUCGAGUUGGUUGGUUAGUUGUUGGGGAUUUAUCGAGGAUUUUACAAGCUCGGACUCUCUUAAACAUUAUUAUCAACAGAAAUCGUCUAUUUGGAGAAAAGAAAGAAGACCUGAUACGAGCCAAACGACCAUCUAUGCUUUUGAAGACAUCAUUGGAUGCCAGUGCAUAAAGACUCAAGACUUGGUCACCUCAUGGACACAACAUACAUGAAUUACCCAUUUUGAGCAUUACAUAAGGUAAACCCGUGCGUGAAAGAUUGCGUGGGGGCUUACCUUUGAUGCCAACCCAAGACCGUAAGUGUUGAAGAAUGACCCCACGGUUUUGGAGUAUUGAAGAAGCACCCUUCAUUGCGGGUAUUUUGGGGAUUACACUUGUUGGAAAGACACUCCAUGGCCACCCCUUUCAUAAAGGGUAUUGUGGUCAUUUUUAUUAUGUAAUAAGCUAGCCUAUACAUAGACUUCUAUUAGGUCAUUUUCUCUUUAGUUUAUUGAUGAUGAUAUUGUGAAAAACUACUUCUCUCAUUGAGAGUGUAACACCUUUAGUGUAGGGCCUGGAAAAUCCAAUAUUGAUCUUUUCCUUAGAAACGGUGGUUUUAAGUGGAGUUGAUUCCCUUAGUGGUCACCGUAAGAAGAUUGGUGUUUGAUUAUUGCAACUUUGAGGGUCCCUUCGUUUGAUAUGCAUGUUGGUUCUCAUUGUUUCGUAAGAUCUUUAUGUCAUCUUGCCUAUCUUUACAUUAUUGCAUUGUUGUUUUUGUUUCUUGUGUCCCAUUCUCGGUUUAUUGUGUGUUGCUACCAUAGUUGUUUUUGUAUCUUGUUCUCAUUUUUCCUUGUGUUCUUGACUGGUUUUUGAGUUUCAUGGUUUGUCCGCUAUCAUUUGGUAUCAGAGCCAUCAUUGAUUUCAUUCCCACGAGAUCAAUCUUGGGCUUAUUCACUCGAAAAAUCAACCAAAAAAGUGUUAAAAAGCUGAAAAACUCAAAAAUAGUAAAGCUGUCCCAUUUUUGUGUUUAGGCCGAAGUUUGAAGCCUAAUUUUCUUGUGUUUUUUGUGUAUUUUGUUGUUUCUAGUGUUAGUCCCUUCUUCACUAACACUAAUAGAGUAAAAAUCUAAAAUUUGAGACAUUUUUUAGUUAUGUUUAGAUUUUGGGUAGGUUGUUGUUGUAGUUGAGGACUUGAGCUUGAGCCAUGUGUUGUCGUUGUGGUUGAGAAUUGGUCUUGAAAUUGUGGUAUUGUUAUUUGGGAGAUCAUGUAUGUUUGAAAAAUUCAAAAUUCAUUCAAUUUGGAGGUUAUUUUCUUAAGAUGCACUUUGAGUGUUCUUGGUGUUCUUCACCAUGUUGAUAAAUUGUUAACCAAGAACACUCCAAAUGUGUUGUUUGAUCUUGAAUAAAGUGGAAAUAAGGUGUGUUCUUUUUUUUGGCUGGAAAAAAAUUUCAAGACAACACCAAAGAAGAAAGUAGACAAAAGGCUUUCAAAAAGUGUUGUUGACAAAAAAGAGAAAGGGGCAUUUUCCAAGACAUACAAAAAAGGAAAAAGCCAAAAGUCUUUCAUAAAGGUUUUUAGCCAAAAAGGUGCAAGGAAGGUCAAACCUUUUUUAAAUUUGAAAAAGUCUCCAAGUCUUGUUUGUUCCCUACCAAAACCGAAUUUCCACGCUUCCAAAUUAAAUUUGACCAAUUCAAAUUCUCAACAAGAAAAAAAAACUGCCACAUCACCAAACUACCUCGUCAUCGAAGUGCCACAUCAUUAACGUUCCAAAUACCUUGAAGCUCAAAUUUAGAUUCUAAAUUUCUUUUCUUUGUUUCAUUAGUUUCAUUUCUUGAUUCUAAUACUAAUUAGCAACUAGUAAUCACCUACUAGAUUGUGAAUUAGUUUUGAAUUCAUCAUGUCUUCAUUAUAUGUGUGCUUUUCUCAUUUUUAAUUCGUCAUAAUUUUUUUGUUUCAAGUCCGUAAGCUGAUUUAUUUUUUGUGUCUUAAGUCGAUCAAAUAAGAAUCUAUUCCGGCUGCUAAGUAGGAUUGACAUCUUAUUGACUACCGAAGUAUAAGCAACUUUCAAUAUUCGUCGCUCCAAUUAUGAGGAUCAUAAAGGUGAGUGCAUACGAGUGUUGGUGAGGAGAUUUUACCACUAAUCUUGUUUGUUCAUUUUGUAGGUACAAGGUAUUAUAAGGGAACAUGUCUUUGAUAGCCGCAGAUUAUUAUGACUACUACAUAGGAGACUAUGAUUGUAGUGAGAGAUUUUAUGGCUACGAAGUUGUUGGAGAUUAUAGUGCCUAUGAAAAUAGCUAUGGUCAAGGCACGGACAGAUUUGAGGGUUACGGUUUUCAAGGGGAAAAUGAGGUGAAUGAAGUGUCUAGUGCUUAUGGUGAACAUGGAGAUGAUGAAGAGCCUUGUGAUGGUCCUUAUGAUGAAGUUGGGACGUAUGCAGGUUCUUACACUUCCCAAACCGAAACUAGAAUUGGUGCAAGGUAUAACCGUUUCAUUUGCAAAGCUUAUGAGAGCUAUGGUGAAGUUCACAUGUGGAGUGUGAAAAUUCAUAUUCUUCAACUUGUAGUACUUCUUAUCAAGGUUGACAUGGUUUGAAUGGUUAUACUAGUUAUAGUAGAGGUUGUCCAUGAGAAGAAGAGGGUAUGCAUCUCUAAAGUCGAAGGGUGAUCAUGUGCCUUACAAUGUUGAUCCAAGAAGGAAUGUUCACUUCGGAAAGGUGAUCAUUUAUGGGGUACUAGGAUGCCUCAUCAUUCUAGAUGAUAGGUGCUAUAAAAACUACAUCCUUCCAUCCAUGGUUGAUUAUUGGGGUUGUUUCAAUAACCUUUACUUGUUCCAUAUUCCUUGAACGGGUUUAAGGUUACCGAGAGGGUAAAGGUUGUCUUCUCCCAAUUUAAAUACCAUGAGGAGGUAUGGUGCGAUAUUUUUCCCUUGACAUAUGUUCAUGUAAGAUUAGGUGCCGAUUGGUUUUCACAACAUAAAGUUUCAAAUGUGCAAAAUUGGCCUAUUGUUGUAAGAGACUAAUGGGGAAAUUAUCUCAUUACAUCUAUUCUGCCCAAGCCGCAAAGAGAAGUGUUCACCUACUCCAAUCCAAAUUACUAUGAGAGACAAAAGAUUUAGAGGAGUAAGGGUGUGCAAGGUGGAAAUCCGAGAGUGAAAAAAAGAGAGGUUGUGAGGAGUAAAAGUGAGGGGAUUGCCACCAAACCGAGCUAACUAUAUUUGUCCUUUUAUUUCUAAGGACAUUUCUUCAGGUACCAACAUGGCAAGAGGGCGAGCACAAGGCCAAAGAGAAGUUGCUGCCAAAGCAUGCGAGGAACCUUCACACCACAGCAAACAAAAAUCUACUCAAGAACUUCAAGGUAAAAUAGCUAAAUCUUGCACUUUUGUGCAUGUGAAUGAUAAUUGUGUGGCUAGUAUCCCAUUGAGUGUGAGGUGUAGCUUGCCUAUAUGUGAGUCUAUUGUUUCUUUGCCACUUGAUGAUGAUGUACAUGUUGUGAGUAUGGAUAUACUAGUUUAUCCUUUUGAUGACUGAAUCGACUCUUCUUGUAAGAUCAAUUUAUGUCCACCUAGGUUAAAACCAUUGUGUUAAAUGAAAGUACAUCGUCUUGUAAAAUUUGUGUUGAUCAACUAAUGUGUGAAAAUUUCCCACCACUUGAGGAUGUGCGUGAUGUGAUUAAUGAAUCUCAAGUGUAUAAUGAUGUUGAAAAUAUUGAUCAAAGGAAUAGGAGUGAACCCCUGAGCUUGCCCUUUGAUUAUAAUAUUUGCUUGGCUCAUAAGGAUAAUCAUGUGCUUGAAACAUCUUUAAAACUUGAUAAUGAACUUUUAGAGAGUGAACUUACUUAUUCUUAAUCUACCUGCAGAAUAGAUCAUGCUCUUUUUUAGAUAUAAUGUCUUGUUUGAAGAUGGUAUAAUCACUCCCAAUGAAUCUAGUGGUAAGAAUGAUGGUAUAGAUUGUCUUGAAGGCUAUAGCCUAUACGCUAACCCAGUAUGGUGUGACAACAAUCCUUCUAAAGGUGGAAAUCUCUUUUUGAAAGAUGAGAGUACUCUUAAGGGUAAGGAAUGUGUAGUCCUUCUUGACAACCUGAGGGCAAAGGUGUCAUUGACUCAUUGGGGUAAUAUUUCUAAAUGUGCAUCCUUGCUUGACACGCUUGUGCUUAAAUUGCAUGAAUCCCAACUUUUGGAUGCCAAGUUGUCUAUUGUUUGAAGGAAAGAGAGUGUAUGUGCUUAAAUUCUGUCUUCACCCAUGCAUGUCUUUACACUUGAUUUUUUCCUAUACUACUUCUUUGUCUAUGAUGACAUCCAUGCUAGUUUUGGGUUUCCAUUAAGUAGAGGUAAAGGUCUUAUUGGUUGGUCCACUUGUUUGAGUGACAAUGCUAUGUGGGAUUGGUGUACUUUGAGACCAAUGGUAGCACCACGUUUGAAGAGGCCACUUGAAGAGGUAAUGAAACAAUUGUGCUUUAUGAUUCCUAAGACAAGGGUAGCCUUAUCUUUUGGACUUAGUGAUACCAUUAAAACCUUUGUAGUUUAUUUAUCUCUUGAUACUUGUCUUAGCCAUUUACUUUGUAAUAUUCUUACUAAACUUUUCAUGACUAAGACAAAGGAUUCAUGGUUAUAUCUCGAGUAUAUACCACCUUGGCAUGAUGAUGUCAUUUGUUAUACUAACUUUAACCCUCAUGCCAUGAGAAAGUUGUGCUUGCUUGUCCUUUCUUUAGUUUUGCAAGGUAUGGAUUCGAGGUUGAAUUCUUUUCAAGAAGGGGAGGAUGAUACGAGCCAAAUGGCCAUCUAUUCUAUUGAACACAUCAUUGUAUGCCAAUGCAUAAAGACUCGAGACUUGGUCACCUCAUGGACACAAGAACAUACAUGGAUGACCCAUUUUGGGCAUGACAUAAGGCAAAUCCGUAUGUGGAAGAUUGAGUGGGGGCUUACCUUUGAUACCAACCUGAGACCACAAGUGUUGAAGCAUGACCCCACGGUUGUGGAGCAUUGAAGAAUCACCCUUCAUUAAUGGUAUUUCGGGGAUUACACUUGUUGGAAAGACACUUCAUGGCUACCCCUUUCAUUAAGGGUAUUGUGGUCAUUUUUGUUAUGUAAUAAUCUAGCCUAUCUAUAUUCUUCUAUUAGGUCAUUUUCUCUUUAGUUUAUUAAUGAUGAUAUUGUGAAAGACUACUUCUCUCUUUGAGAGUGUAACACCUUUAGUGUAGGGCUUGGUAAAUCCAAGUUGUUAGUGUAGGACUUAGAAAAGCCAAUAUUGAUAUUUUCCUUAGAAAUGGUGGUUUUAAGUGGA